UACAGAGGGGGCAAGCGUUGUUCGGAAUUACUGGGCGUAAAGGGCGCGUAGGCGGCCUGUUAAGUCGAACGUGAAAUCCCCGGGCUCAACCCGGGAACUGCGUCCGAUACUGGCAGGCUUGAAUCCGGGAGAGGGAUGCGGAAUUCCAGGUGUAGCGGUGAAAUGCGUAGAUAUCUGGAGGAACACCGGUGGCGAAGGCGGCAUCCUGGACCGGCAUUGACGCUGAGGAGCGAAAGCGUGGGGAGCAGACAGG
rnacentral:rRNA from 1 species